ensembl:lncRNA
GAAGGCGUGCAGGGGGGUUCGAGGCAUUCGGUCGUGUUCGCCCCGCUUUGUUCGCCUUUACCUUGGGGUGACGAAGUCUGUCUGAGGCCUUUCAGCACCGACUCUCACUCUUUGCUAAGACAUGGGCAGAAAGGUUUUUAUCUCCCAUUGGUGUCACCCAGAGCCCAGUCAUGGAGGUUGCCCUAGAAGGAAUAAUCUUACUUCACAGCUCAGGUGGACAUCUAGCGCACCAGAGGGGGCUCGCAACUCUUGAAUUUUGAUGCCUGAAUUACAUUAAAACUUCAACUGAACCCUCUCAGAUCUAGCCCAGAGCACCAUCUCCAAAUUCACUGGGAAGGUUUUAAGACAAAUCUCUUCUACUGCGUGCUUGACACAGUGAACUGUGAUGUAGAACAAGAUGACGCUUUCAAAGAGAGGGAAACUAGAUUGAGCCAAAGUAAUUCUGAGGGUGUUUACACUCUCCUUGGCCAAAAGGGGAACUUAAAAGAUGUUUGGGAAUCUUCUCAUUUCCCUGCUGUCAAACAUUACUUUAUUUACAUAACAAAAAACUGAUACGUGUGCCAAGAAUCAUGGCUCAUUUUGUAAUGGUGGAUUCCUUAAGACCGAACCUAAUACAUGUCAAGAUUCAGAAAAACAAACAAGGUGCUACUGGGGGGGAAAAAAAAAAAGCAAAGACAGAUUUUUCCAUUAGAAGCUGAAGUUUUAUUACAGGAUAACAGUACAUAAAGCACAUCUAAAAUCGAUGUGUUCAAUGCACUUAAUAAAGGUAAUGUAAU